rnacentral:rRNA from 1 species
UACGAAGGGGGCUAGCGUUGUUCGGAAUUACUGGGCGUAAAGGGCGCGUAGGCGGUCCUUCAAGUCAGGCGUGAAAGCCCCGGGCUCAACCUGGGAACCGCGCUUGAGACUGGAGAACUAGAGUUCGGGAGAGGAUGGUGGAAUUCCCAGUGUAGAGGUGAAAUUCGUAGAUAUUGGGAAGAACACCGAUGGCGAAGGCAGCCAUCUGGACCGACACUGACGCUCAGGCACGAAAGCGUGGGGAGCAAACAGG